AAUAAGUUUGAUUCUUGCUUAUUUAUUAGUUUUUUAAGUGUUUUAUAUGUAUAUUUUAUUUAAUAAUUAAGUAAUUUCAGUAAAUAAUAUUGUUUCUUUUAUAUUAAUAUAUUUUCAGUGACUUAAUUUAUGGUGGAUUAAUUUUGUGCCAGCAUUCGCGGUUAUACAAAUCAUUUAAGUUAAUAUUAUAUUUUUUAAUUAAUUAUUUAUUGAUUAUUAUUUUUGUUUUAUUUAGGUGGAAUUUAUUUAAUGAUUUUUAAAAUCUGUUUUUAAGUUUAUUAAAUCAUUAAUAUAAACUAGGAUUAGAUACCCUAUUAUUUUUGACCUAAGUUUUAAUAAUGAAUAUUAAUAGUUAUGUUCUAUUAAACUCAUAGAAUUUGGCGGUAAAUUAUAUCUUUUUAGAGGGGCCUGUUUUAUAAUUGAUAAACCACGAUGGGUUUUACCUUAAUUUUAUUUGUAUAUCUCUAUAUAUGGAAUGUUAUUUAAGUAAAUUUUCUUUUAUUAUUUAAUUUAAUGUUAGGUCAAGGUGCAGUUUUAUUAAGGUAAAAAUGGGUUACUUUAAUGUUAAAUAAUUUUGGAUUUUUAUCUUUUAUGAUUAAUAAUUUAAAUAGGAUUUAAUAGUAAUUAUAAUUAAUUAAUUAUAAUGAAUUUAGUUUUAAUUUAUGCACAUAUCGCCCGUCACUCUCUUUAAAAUGGGAUAAGUCGUAACAAAGUAGGUGUACCGGAAGGUGCAGCUAGAAAGUU
rnacentral:ncRNA from 1 species